AGCCCCGAUAACUCGGUGGUUAGAGCGUCGAGUUAGCGACCCGGGGCUCGCGGGUUCGAAUCUUCGCCUCGGAAGUUA